rnacentral:rRNA from 1 species
AUACGGAGGGUGCGAGCGUUAAUCGGAAUUACUGGGCGUAAAGCGCGCGUAGGCGGGCUGUUAAGUCCGAUGUGAAAUCCCUCGGCUCAACCGAGGACGUGCAUUGGAUACUGGCGACCUUGAGUCCUGGAGAGGGUGGCGGAAUUCCCAGUGUAGAGGUGAAAUUCGUAGAUAUUGGGAGGAACACCGGCGGCGAAGGCGGCCACCUGGACAGUGACUGACGCUGAGGCGCGAAAGCAUGGGUAGCAAACAGGAUUAGAAACCCCAGUAGUCC